GAAUUCUGGACAAUGGGCGAAAGCCUGAUCCAGCAAUGCCGCGUGCAGGAUUAAGGCCUUCGGGUUGUAAACUGCUUUUGUACGGAACGAAAAGCUUUGGGUUAAUACCCCGGAGUCAUGACGGUACCGUAAGAAUACGCACCGGCUACGUACGUGCCACCAGCCGCGGUAAUACGUACGGUGCAAGCGUUCAUCGGAAUUACUGGGCGUAAAGCGUGCGCAGGCGGGUUUGUAAGACAGAGGUGAAAUCCCCGGGCUCAACCUGGGAACCGCCUUUGUGACUGCAAGGCUAGAGUACGGCAGAGGGGGGUGGAAUGCCGCGUGUAGCAGUGAAAUGCGUAGAUAUGCGGAGGAACACCGAUGGCGAAGGCAACCCCCUGGGCCUGUACUGACGCUCAUGCACGAAAGCGUGGGGAGCAAACA
rnacentral:rRNA from 1 species